UUGAAUAAUUUCAAUUAAUUAACUAACAAAAGUUUAGAAAAUAUCAGAAAUACGUUUUUGUAGUAUGAUGGAAUUAUGAAAUUUUACAGUACUAUUUAGUAGGAGCGAAUUUUUUACAAAAAAAUUUGACCGUCAGUCGGUAAUAAAGAUCGCACUUUAACCCACGUAGGGUUUAAAUUCGCAAUGAACUUUAUGAUGCAGUAAGUUUUUUUUAAAAAAAAAAGUUCUAUACUCAUAAUUUUGUUCGGUAUUGUAUAGUAAAAACUAUAAACUAUUAUAAGUGUACGUCAUUCAAACAACUGUAUCAAUAUAAUAGAUAAAUAAAAAAAACUUAGGAAAUAGAACAUAUAUUAUUACAUAUACGGAUGUAAACUAAAUGAAUUACGUCAAUGAUGAGUAAAUAAUUUUUUAAAACGCAUUAAAAUUCUCAAUUAAAGUAAAUAAAGACUUUAGUAUAAAAAAACCUGGCAAUAAAAUAUUUUAAUCAGAAAGUAAUAAGUUCAAGUUCCACAUAAGAAAAGAAGUUUUUUACCUAUUGGGAGUACUUAUUGGGAAGCUGACAAAAAUCAAUCAAUUCUAGUUGUGUGAAUGCAUAAUAUUAUUUCAUUAUACUGACGAAAAAAAAUGAAUCGAAAUGUUUUCUUACUCAAAGGCUAAUUAAUUUGGCUAAAAAAUAAGGAGACAAUUGUGAUCUAAAUAAGGAUACAUUUGACUCUAAUUUAAUUACUCAAAAUAAAUAAAAAUUGUUGAUAAACUUGUUUUUGGAAAAGACGAAUUAGAAGUAUUUAUUUCACAAGCUCAUACUAAACAUCAAAUAAAUAAAUAAAAAAAUCAUUUUUUCCUCU